AUAAAUAUAAACAAAUUAAAAAUGACAGUUUUUGUGUUUUUAAAGAUGUUUUUCUCGUUUUUUUACAAAUCUGUUGUAAUUUGGUAAAGAAUAAAAUAUUUUCAAGCCGAGAUAAUACAAAUCUUGAAAAAAAUUGAUCUACAAUGAGAUAAUAGUGAAGAAAGAAGAUAAAAGAGUUAAACAAUUAAACAAUUGUUAUUAUAACCUCAAAAAUGGUACUUAUUUUUUCUUUUUAAAAAAGAAAAUAUUGAAUACAUAAUUAAAUGAAUUAAAUGAAACUAGGAUCAUCAAGAAAAGAUACUGCUUCCUAUUUAUACAGGAAUUAGAUUAGAGAAUAGUAUUAUUUACUAUGAAAAAAAACUAGAAACAAUAAAGAAUGUCUAAGCAAGUCGUCAACUUUCAUUAUAGAGUUUCACAAAAGCCACGAAGUUUAUGGCAAAUGCAAACGUCAAAUCGAUGAUCUAUGUUAUUAUUCUGCAAUUUUCCCCAUUGGAGGAUCAAUAUGGGAUCAAAAUCUGGAUUAACCACAAGAGAAUUGAAAUAAAGAAAAAAAUCGCUUCUCUCAAUACUGACAUGAGACUCCAGACGAUUAUGACAUGUAAUAGAAAACCGAAACCCUAUAUGUUCGACGUGGCUAAUGUCUAGUACCACCGCUUUAAAUCAUCACAAGAAAUACCUUUACUGAUAAAUAAUAAUAAACAAUAUUAUAAAUUUAGAAA